rnacentral:rRNA from 1 species
GACGAACGCUGGCGGCGUGCUUAACACAUGCAAGUCGAACGAAGUGGCGAACGGGUGAGUAACGCGUAAUCACCCUGCCCUUCAGAGGGGGACAACAGUGGGAAACGACUGCUAAUACCGCAUACUGAAGGAGGGGAUUGAGUCUGUUUGGCUAGUGGGAGUGGUAACGGCCCACCAAGGCGAUGAUCAGUAGCCGGUCUGAGAGGAUGAACGGCCACAUUGGGACUGAGACACGGCCCAGACCCCUACGGGAGGCAGCAGUGGGGAAGCUUCCGCAAUGGACGAAAGUCUGACGGAGCAACGCCGCGUGAGUGAUGACGGCCUUCGGGUUGUAAAGCUCUGUUAAUCGGGACGCGGUACCGGAAUAGAAAGCCACGGCUAACUACGUGCCAGCAGCCGCGGUAAUUC